CCAAAACAAAUGCAACCACUUUUCAUCCGGUUGAAACUCCUCCCACCGUUGUAACCAGGGACAAAUUCACGAACCCCCUCAUUGCCCCCAACGCGCUCAAAGAAUCACGGACGUUUGAGACUGAAAAUAUAUGAAUUGACAAACUAUGGUUUGCAUGCCCUGCUGAAGGACCCUAUCAUGCCGAAAAGAGGUCCUUCGUUGGUCCCCAGUGCUGACAAGGUGCACAGUUGGGUGCCAGACAGAUCCUCUGGUCAUGAACAGAUGCUGGGACCUACCAGAAGGAGAAAAGUGCCACACCUUUGUGACACCUCCUCCACUGUUGUAAGUCUCCCUUGACUCCUAUGAAAACUCCAUCGUGAGGCCUCUGAUAGUGACCGGAGUUACUGCCCUGAUAACACAGAUGGCUUCCUCAACAACAACAGGCCCUCCCAGUCAACACCAUUUCAUAAGAUUGCCUGCUGCAGUUGUUCGAGAGAUGUCCAGUUUGCAGCAGAACAUGCAGCAUAAACACAACCAGCAAGGGGCCCUCAUCAGCAUCAUGCAGACAAGCCCUCACUGUGAGCAUUCCAAUGAAUGAAACAGUCAAUCACAUGUUGGCAAGUAUCCGGCGAGCAACCUUCACCUGUAAUUGGAAACAGCUUUCACAGGCUAAUCAUUUGUACAAAUGCAAAGUACUUUGAUACAUUUGAGAAGCCAAUUGUGAAGCAUCAUUUACAGUGCAUUCGGAAAGUAUUCAGACCUCUUGAGUUUACACAUUUUGUUACAUUACAGCCUUAUUCUAAAUUUGAUUAAAUUAUAUAUUUUUCCUCAUCAAUCCACACACAAUACCCCAUAAUGACAUGUUUUUGUACAUUUUUGCAAAUGUAUAAAAACCUGAAAUACCUUAUUUACAUAAGUAUUUAGACUUGCUAUGAGACUCGAUAUCCUGUUUCCAUUAAUCCUUCUUGAGAUGUUUCUACAACUUGAUUGGAGUCCAGCUGUGGUAAAUUCAAUUGAUUGGACAUGAUUUGGAAAGGCACACACCUGUCUAUAUAAGGUCCCACAUUUGACAGUGCAUGUCAGAGCAAACACCAAGCCAUGAGGUCCAAGGAAUUGUUCGUAGACGUCCGAGACAGAAAUAUAGACAAUAUCUAACUACUUUGGAAUUAUACACCUCGACAUUUCUAAGUAUGGCACGAACAGAACAGUUACCUAGGCAUAUACUGUAUACAUACUGUAAAUUCAAAACACAAAGAAGCAGAGCACAACUAAAUACAUGCUUUGUUACAGAUCUUAAACAGGAUCCAAUCCUUCUAGAAAACAUUCUUCCUCGACCGAGUCAAAGUCCUUCUCGUCCAAGUUGCUUCCAUCAUCUGAGUUUGACUUAUUAUAUUCAGUGUCACUGUCUGUAAAUAUCCUCCAACGCCUCUUUAUCGGUAUAGCUAACUUUUGGAAACAAAUCCUCCCUGCACAAUAUUCUUAGUUUUUGCUUUCUUUUUGCUUCCAUAGGGAGCCAUUUUUAUGCCAAAGUGAUGAAAAGAAUCUGUUCAAAAUAGCAGGAAUGAACCAUUGAGCUCCGCACUCAGAGCGCUCUGGAUGCCCAUAGUCCAUAGGAUAACAACAACAACAAAAUGUGUGUGCAAAGAUUUAGUCAGUGGGUGGACAUUCGAUUUUCUAAUUCUGUCAUACAUUAACGGAGAACACUGACAAUAGGUUACUAUUGUUCAUAAGAACCAAACGAUUCCUUUGAAACUAUAUAGCUUUAUCCCAAACACAGACCAAAUCGAAGCUGACCUGAUCUUGACUCUCUGGGCUGUUGAUAAUGCUAUUUCACUGGCUGACAACUAAGAUAUCCUUAUGAUCUGUGGAGCCUCAACUUUCAGCUCAUAUCAACAUUCUUUAUGACUUACAGUACCAGUCAAAAGUUUGGACACACUUACUCAUUCCAGGAUUUUUCUUUAUUUUUACUAUUUUCUACAUUGUAGAAUAAUGGUGAAGAUAUCAAAACUAUGAAAUAACGGAAUGGAAUCAUGUAGUAACCAAACACGUGUUACACAUAUCAACAAAAUAUUUAAUAUAUCAGAUUCUUCAAAGUAGCCUUCACUAUUUUCCCUUGAUGACAGCUUUGCACACUGUUGGCCUUCUCUCAACCAGCUCCACCUUGAAU